rnacentral:rRNA from 1 species
GAGGCAGCAGUGGGGAAUUUUGGACAAUGGGGGCAACCCUGAUCCAGCCAUUCCGCGUGAGUGAAGAAGGCCUUCGGGUUGUAAAGCUCUUUCGGCAGGAACGAAACGGCGAGCUCUAACAUAGCUCGCUAAUGACGGUACCUGAAGAAGAAGCACCGGCUAACUACGUGCCAGCAGCCGCGGUAAUACGUAGGGUGCGAGCGUUAAUCGGAAUUACUGGGCGUAAAGCGUGCGCAGGCGGUUGUGUAAGACAGGUGUGAAAUCCCCGGGCUUAACCUGGGAACUGCGCUUGUGACUGCACGACUAGAGUAUGGCAGAGGGGGGUGGAAUUCCACGUGUAGCAGUGAAAUGCGUAGAGAUGUGGAGGAACACCGAUGGCGAAGGCAGCCCCCUGGGCCAAUACUGACGCUCAUGCACGAAAGCGUGGGGAGCAAACAGGAUUAGAUACCCUGGUAGUCCACGCCCUAAACGAUGUCGACUAGGUGUUCGGUGAGGAGACUCAUUGAGUACCGCAGCUAACGCGUGAAGUCGACCGCCUGGGGA